GUUCUCUCCCGGUGACAUAAAUCAGAAUAAACACAGGGAGCGUCGAUUCGCGAGGUGGAUCGACGAAAACGGCAAUCUGUAUCCUGUCUUGUGGAGCUUCACUUGGAUGGCGGCGCGCUUCCACCUUCGUCGCCUCUGUCUCCAUGCGCCAUAGACCGCAGCGGCCCCUCCUUGUCACGGGAGUGCUGGAGCCUAUCCCAGCUAUCAUCGGGCAGGAGGCGGGGUACACCCUGAACUGGUUGCCAGCCAAUCGCAGUGCUGGUGUGAGAUCCAUUUGCAUUCAAUGCACCAUUCAACCUCUCACGAGAGCGGUUCCCAGCCGAGUGUGACGCGGCUGGGAUGAAAAUCAGCACCUCCAAAUCUGAGACCACGGUCCUCAGUCGGAAAAGGGUGGAGUGUCCUCUCCGGGUCGGGAUGAGUUCAAGACCCCGACUGGACCAUCCGCCAACAUCCCCCGGACUCACGGCUGUGGUGUCCUGAAGACACUGAUACCCCGAAAUGCUCCCCGGGGGCUUCAGCUGCCCCCUGCUCCAGUGUGUUCCACUAACAUGUGUAUGUGUUCACUGUGAUGGGUAAAAUGCAGAGUACAAAUUUCGUGUGCAUGCAUGCAUGUUCAUGACAA